GUUGGAGAGUUUGAUCCUGGCUCAGGACGAACGUUGGCGGCGUGCCUAAUGCAUGCAAGUCGAACGAGGGACCUUUUCCGGGCAACCGGAGGAGGUCACCUAGUGGCGAACGGGUGAGUAGCACUUGAGGAACCUGCCCCGGAGACCGGAAUAGCCCAGGGAAACUUGGAUUAAUGCCGGAUGUCCUCGGUUGGCCGCAUGGCCGGCCGAGGAAACAGUCCGCUGCUCCGGGAUGGCCUCGAGGCCUAUCAGCUAGUUGGUGAGGUAACGGCCCACCAAGGCGACGACGGGUAGCUGGUCUGAGAGGACGAUCAGCCACACUGGGACUGAGACACGGCCCAGACUCCUGCGGGAGGCAGCAGCAGGGAAUUUUGCACAAUGGACGAAAGUCUGAUGCAGCGACGCCGCGUGGGGGAUGAAUGCCUUCGGGUUGUAAACCCCUUUCAGGAGGGACGAAGCGAAAGUGACGGUACCUUCAGAAGAAGCCCCGGCCAACUACGUGCCAGCAGCCGCGGUAAUACGUAGGGGGC
rnacentral:rRNA from 2 species